rnacentral:rRNA from 1 species
AUUGAACGCUGGCGGCAUGCCUUACACAUGCAAGUCGAACGGCAGCACGGGGCAACCUGGUGGCGAGUGGCGAACGGGUGAGUAAUGCAUCGGAACGUACCUUUCAGUGGGGGAUAACGUAGCGAAAGUUACGCUAAUACCGCAUAUUCUGUGAGCAGGAAAGCAGGGGAUCGCAAGACCUUGCGCUGAUUGAGCGGCCGAUGUCAGAUUAGCUAGUUGGUGAGGUAAAGGCUCACCAAGGCGACGAUCUGUAGCGGGUCUGAGAGGAUGAUCCGCCACACUGGAACUGAGGAACGGUCCAGACUCCUACGGGAGGCAGCAGUGGGGAAUUUUGGACAAUGGGGGCAACCCUGAUCCAGCCAUGCCGCGUGAGUGAAGAAGGCCUUCGGGUUGUAAAGCUCUUUCGGCCGGAAAGAAAUCGCACGGGCUAAUACCCUGUGUGGAUGACGGUACCGGAAUAAGAAGCACCGGCUAACUACGUGCCAGCCGCCGCCGUAA